GCGGACGUGCGGAAACCGGUAGACCGGCAUGCUUGAGGGGCAUGUGAGCUUAUUGCUCGUGUGGGUUCGAGUCCCACCGUCCGCA
rnacentral:tRNA from 1 species